rnacentral:rRNA from 1 species
AUUGAACGCUGGCGGCAUGCCUAACACAUGCAAGUCGAGCGGCAGAGCGGGCUUCGCCCUGGCGGCGAGUGGCGAACGGGUGAGUAAUGCCUAGGAACGUGCCCGGUAGUGGGGGAUAGCGUGGCGAAAGGCGGGUUAAUACCGCAUACGACCUGAGGGUGAAAGCGGGGGACCGUCAGGCCUCGCGCUAUUGGAUGGGCCGAGGUCGGAUUAGCUAGUUGGUGGGGUAAAGGCCUACCAAGGCGACGAUCCGUAGCUGGUCUGAGAGGAUGACCAGCCACACUGGUACUGAGACACGGCCCAGACUCCUACGGGAGGCAGCAGUGGGGAAUUUUGGACAAUGGGCGCAAGCCUGAUCCAGCCAUGCCGCGUGCGUGAAGAAGGUCUUCGGAUUGUAAACCGCUUUUGUUUGGGAAGAAAGGCUCUGAGCUAAUACCCUGGUGUUUUGACGGUACCGGAAGAAUAAGCACCGGCUAACUACGUG